rnacentral:rRNA from 1 species
GACGGAGGGUGCAAGCGUUGUCCGGAAUCACUGGGCGUAAAGGGCGCGUAGGCGGCCUGGUAAGUAGGGGGUGAAAUCCUGCGGCUUAACCGCAGGGCUGCCUUCUAAACUGUCAGGCUUGAGCACGGUGGAGGCAGAUGGAAUUCCCGGUGUAGCGGUGGAAUGCGUAGAGAUCGGGAAGAACAUCAGUGGCGAAGGCGGUCUGCUGGGCCGUUGCUGACACUGAGGCGCGACAGCGUGGGGAGCAAACAGG